GAUUCGAAUACAGGCUACCGAACUGCCGAAGGUGUUUGGCCAUCUGGUGCAUGUUAAAGGAAUCAAAGGUCAUGACUAGAUGUACACUCAUCUCCGGGGUAUCGGUGUUCGUCUUCGUUGGGU
rnacentral:precursor_RNA from 10 species